rnacentral:tRNA from 1 species
GGCUAUCUGGCCCAAUGGUCAAGGCGCCUGCCUACGAAUCGCGAUCGCAACGUGCGUCGUGAACGAGAGGCUCAGCAGGAGACUCCAGGUUCGAGUCCUGGGAUGGUCG